CCGUAAACGAUGUGUGUUAGACGUUGGAAAUUUAUUUUCAGUGUCGCAGGGAAACCGAUAAACACACCGCCUGGGGAGUACGACCGCAAGGUUAAAACUCAAAUGAAUUGACGGGGACCCGCACAAGUAGUGGAGCAUGUGGUUUAAUUCGAAGAUACGCGCAGAACCUUACCAACACUUGACAUGUUCGUCGCGACUUUAAGAGAUUAAAGUUUUCGGUUCGGCCGGACGAAACACAGGUGCUGCAUGGCUGUCGUCAGCUCGUGUCGUGAGAUGUUGGGUUAAGUCCCGCAACGAGCGCAACCCUCACUUUUAGUUGCCAUCAUUUAGUUGGGCACUCUGAAAGAACUGCCAGUGAUAAGCUGGAGGAAGGUGGGGAUGACGUCAAGUCCUCAUGGCCCUUACGUGUUGGGCUACACACGUGCUACAAUGGUAUAUACAACAGGAAGCAAGACGGCGACGUUUAGCAAAUCCUCAAAAGAUACCUCAGUUCGGAUUGCACUCUGCAACUCGAGUGCAUGAAGCUGGAAUUACUAGUAAUCGUGGAUCAGCGUGCCACGGUGAAUGCGUUCCCGGGUCUUGUACACACCGCCCGUCACACCAUGGGAGUUGGUUCUACCUUAAGGCAAGGUUUUAAACCCUUGACCACGGUAUAGUCAGCGACUGGGGUGAAGUCGUAACAAGGUAACCGUA
rnacentral:rRNA from 1 species